rnacentral:rRNA from 1 species
UGCAGCAACGCCGCGUGAGGGAUGACGGCCUAUCGGGUUGUAAACCUCUUUUAGCAGGGAAGAAGCGAAAGUGACGGUACCUGCAGAAAAAGCGCCGGCUAACUACGUGCCAGCAGCCGCGGUAAUACGUAGGGCGCAAGCGUUAUCCGGAAUUAUUGGGCGUAAAGAGCUCGUAGGCGGUUUGUCGCGUCUGCUGUGAAAUCCCGAGGCUCAACUUCGGGUCUGCAGUGGGUACGGGCAGACUAGAGUGCGGUAGGGGAGAUUGGAAUUCCUGGUGUAGCGGUGGAAUGCGCAGAUAUCAGGAGGAACACCGAUGGCGAAGGCAGAUCUCUGGGCCGUAACUGACGCUGAGGAGCGAAAGGGUGGGGAGCAAACAGGCUUAGAUACCCUGGUAGUCCACCCCGUAAACGUUGGGAACUAGUUGUGGGGUCCAUUCCACGGAUUCCGUGACGCAGCUAACGCAUUAAGUUCCCCGCCUGGGGAGUACGGCCGCAAGGCUAAAACUCAAAGGAAUUGACGGGGACCCGCACAAGCGGCGGAGCAUGCGGAUUAAUUCGAUGCAACGCGAAGAACCUUACCAAGGCUUGACAUAUACGAGAACGCUGCAGAAAUGUAGAACUCUUUGG